rnacentral:rRNA from 1 species
CACGUAGGAGGCGAGCGUUGUCCGGAAUCAUUGGGCGUAAAGGGCGCGUAGGCGGCGUGGUAAGUCACUUGUGAAAUCUCUGAGCUCAACUCAGAACGGCCAAGUGAUACUGCUGUGCUAGAGUGCAGAAGGGGCAAUCAGAAUUCUUGGUGUAGCGGUGAAAUGCGUAGAUAUCAAGAGGAAUACCUGAGGUGAAGACGGGUUGCUAGGCUGACACUGACGCUGAGUGCGCGAAAGCCAGGGGAGCAAACGGG